CAAACAGUUGAUCCAGAAUUUUGUAAUUGACAUUGAAGAGAAAUAUUUAGAUGCAUUGCUAGAUGCAUUGCUAUUGACGUUGCUAAUAUAUGUCGAUAAAUCAUACAGUGAAUUAGGAUGAAUUCUUAUGAGGACUCAUUCUAUACCAAAGAUAGAACCUCUAGACCGACAUCCAAGCAUACUUAGAGCACCAUCUGUUCAGAUGCCACAAUUAUUUUUCCAAGAAGUCUUUUGCUUUUUCAAAUUUAACCAACUUUGUCAAUUACAUCAGGUGCUGUAGAGGUCGUUUAUAGAGUUUUGCAUUGAAACUAAUCUUUGAAAAUCUCCUUUGUGUAUACUGGUAUAUCUUACCGGAACUAGUAAUUGUGAACAAUUUACAACGCCUGUGGAUUCAUCAAGCUGGAUGCUAAAUAUUGUAAAAGAAGCAGAUAUCAUUUCCUUAAUAUCAGAAGACAUGUCAACUAAUCUCCUGUAAAUAGUGUCAUUAUUUAUGCAAAUUACACUAAAUUUAUUAAUAAAUUUGGCUCCAAUCAUAUCUUUAGCCACUGACAAUAACUGCUUGGUAGUGGUGUGAGGUUUCAGAACUCUGGCGAUUCUGACAGCUACCAAACAAGAAGAUUCAUAGGCUGAUAUGUUUCAAUUAUGGUACUUGCCAUAUGAGUCUAAACCAUCUAAACUAAACCACUGUAUGUCAUAAUCGGCAAAGUUCGGAUGUUUGUUCGACCUCAAUACAUAUGGCAGAGAGAACUUCAUUACAAAUGUUGCAUCGGGUUUCUGCUAAAACUAUACCGCAAAAAAAAAAUAUUAAAAAAUCGUCAUUCUCUUUUAUUUUAUUAACCUUCUUUUGUUACAAGUCCGUGUUCAUGAGUUGUUACAUAAUGAACUUUUUUCCAUUGACUAUAAUACGAUGGCGUAUUUAUUAAUUGAAUUUUCUUCACUACGUGAUUAUAUCUUCACCAAAGAAAUGUUUGAUCCCACAAUGGUGUUUCGAUGCAUUGAUAGACAGUAAAUUUAUUUCUUGAAAAAUAUAUUUUGCAACAACAAAGAUGUGGUCUGUAACAUCGAUUUUUGAAUGACAAUUAUAAAAAAAAAGAAACACAAAGAAGAACAAAUAAAAAUAACAAACUACUAUCAAACAAGGAUGUUACAUUCACUAAAAGUACCCUCUGUAUCGUCUUGCAAUAUAUAGGAAAAGUGAAGACUGUGUGUGGAAGUUUGCCAGAGGCAAGCUUUGGAUUUCUUUCAUAGAGCAAGGGACAACACUCUCAAUACCUUUUGAUAUCAUUCCAACACCUAUAGCUGUGGUGAGACUAUUUCGAGGUCUCAGGAAUGUAUUUCUUAUCAAUUGGUAAUCAUGCAUCACAUGCCCUCAGAUAUGUACACAAAAUGAAGUUUGAGGAGAAAGAGAAAGGAUCAAGAUGAUUUACAAGACACUAAAGUUAUCUAUCAACUAUACUCAAUGUAUGAAUGACUUGCAGCCAGACUAGAAUUAUAGAGAAAGAUGUUUUUCUGCUGGCUAAACAUGUAUGGAUUGUUUUGAGUUUUGCAAGUGCUGCUGUUGUCUAGGCAAUUCUGGCCAGUAGUUCCGGUUUUGGUUUCUUCAUCUGAGACAAAAACUCCAAGGGUCUGUUCCAUCACAUCCAGUCAAUAAAGGAAUAAUAUCUAUGAUGUCAGACAACAAUAAAGAUCCAUUUCUGUAGAAGAAGAUCUCACUACCAUGAACACUCUAGGGCUAGGGAGACAUGAACUACAUGAAGACAAUUUUGGGAUGGAGGAAACCACACAGAGACUUCAAUGGGGAACAAAAGUCAAAUGGAGUGUGUUCAAAGUUAGCAUUCAAUUCUUGUCACUCAAUUCUCCAUGAUAUGUUUACAGGGAGACUAAACAUUUUUGGACAUGAUGCCAGUAAAAUGAGAAAAUAGAGUGGAAGAGAGUCCAUAGUUUGUUUUGCUCCCGAUUCAAUAGAGAACAAAGUUAAGAUUAGCAAUGGAGAUAAAAGGAAUCUCUAAAACAAUAAUUCUUAUCAAAAUCCAACAAUCUCUAUUCAAAAUAUUAAUCUAAGCAGUAACAUGACAACUAUUUGAACCAAAGAGUGAAGCUCACGUGAGGACAGUUUUCAACACUAGAGUUACAGUACUAGUCCUCGGUGGAAUCAAGGAGUCAUUAAAGAAUCAUUCUGGAAGAUCAAAUUAAUACAAGCACUGAACAGCAGACAGGAAUGGAAAAUAUGGCCAACAGAUCAUGUGUGGUGCCCCAAUGGUCCAACAACUUAGGGAUAGGUGAAUGUGAUAAUACAUAAUAGAUAAUGAUGCAGAGUAUUUCCUGGUGAUCAUGAAUUAGGAGCUGCACACAGUUUAAUGAAACCAUAUUUUAGGAACAGAUAGAAAACAAAGAACUGCAGCAAAGAUGGCCUGUUUUUAUUCUUCUUCAU